rnacentral:rRNA from 1 species
AUACGGAGGAUGCGAGCGUUAUCCGGAUUUAUUGGGUUUAAAGGGUGCGUAGGCUGUUUGGUAAGUCAGGGGUGAAAUGCCGUCGCUCAACGACGGAGCUGCCCUUGAUACUGCCGAGCUGGAGUACGGAUGCCGUUGGAGGAAUGAGUGGUGUAGCGGUGAAAUGCAUAGAUAUCACUCAGAACACCGAUUGCGAAGGCGUCGGACGAAUCCGUCAGUGCCGCUGAGGCACGAAAGGGUGGGGAGAGAACAGGAUAAGAUACCCUGGUAUUCCACGCCGUAAACGAUGAUGACUAACCGCCUGCGAUAUAGUGUAGGUGGCCAAGCGAAAGCGAUAAGUCAUCCACCUGGGGAGUACGACCGCAAGGCUGAAACUCAAAUGAAUUGACGGGG